GCCAUAGUGGUGUAGUGGUUAGAGCAUCUGCCUAGUGAGCAGAAGGCCCAGGUUCAAAUCCUGGUUUUGGUA